GAGCUCUCAAUCUGUCAAUCCUUCCAGUGUCCGGGCCUGGUGAGAUUUCCCGUGUUGAGUCAAAUUAAGCCGCAGGCUCCACUCCUGGUGGUGCCCUUCCGUCAAUUCCUUUAAGUUUCAGCUUUGCAACCAUACUUCCCCCGGAACCCAAACGCUUUGGUUUCCCGAAAGCUUCCCGCAGAGCCUACAAAUGCAACUCAGCGGAUCGCUAGCUGGCAUCGUUUAUGGUUAGAACUAGGGCGGUAUCUGAUCGCCUUCGAACCUCUAACUUUCGUUCUUGAUUAAUGAAAACACUCUUGGCAAAUGCUUUCGCAGUAGUUAGUCUUCGAACGGUCCAAGAAUUUCACCUCUGUCGUUUGAAUACUAAUGCCCCCAAUUGUCCCUAUUAAUCAUUAACUCGAUUCCCGAAAACCAACAAAAUAGGAACGAGUUCCUAUUCCAUUAUUCCAUGCACGAAUAUUCAAGCCUGAAAAGCCUGCUUUGAGCACUCUAAUUUUUUCAAAGUAAACCUGACGGCGCACCGGGACGCUCAACGAAGAGCACCCCGGAACCUCCGCCAAUCACACAGCCAAAUGGGGCAGUCACGCUUUGGAGCGAACCGCCCCCUGGCUGCCGAGAUCCAACUACGAGCUUUUUAACCGCAACAACUUUAAUAUACGCUAUUGGAGCUGGAAU
rnacentral:rRNA from 1 species